rnacentral:rRNA from 1 species
GACAGAGGGGGCAAGCGUUGCUCGGAAUUACUGGGCGUAAAGGGCGCGUAGGCGGGAUGGCAAGUCGGUCGUGAAAUCCCUCGGCUCAACUGAGGAUCGUCGAUCGAUACUGCCGUUCUUGAGGAUUGCAGAGGAGACUGGAAUUCCCGGUGUAGCGGUGAAAUGUGUAGAGAUCGGGAGGAACACCGGUGGCGAAGGCGGCAUCCUGGACCAACACUGACGCUGAGGAGCGAAAGCCAGGGGAGCAAACGGG